rnacentral:rRNA from 1 species
UACGGAGGGUGCGAGCGUUGUCCGGAAUCACUGGGCGUAAAGGGCGCGUAGGCGGCCGAGCAAGGUCGCGGUGAAAGCCCGGGGCUCAACCCCGGGUCGGCCGUGGCAACUACUCGGCUCGAGCACUGUAGGGGCGGGUGGAAUUCCGGGUGUAGCGGUGGAAUGCGUAGAUAUUGGGAGGAACACCAGUGGCGAAGGCGGCUCACUGGACCGGAACUGACGCUGAGGCGCGAAAGCGUGGGGAGCAAACAGG